UACGUAGGGGGCGAGCGUUGUCCGGAUUUAUUGGGCGUAAAGAGCUCGUAGGCGGUUUGUCGCGUCUGCUGUGAAAUCCCGAGGCUCAACCUCGGGUCUGCAGUGGGUACGGGCAGACUGGAGUGCGGUAGGGGAGAAUGGAAUUCCUGGUGUAGCGGUGAAAUGCGCAGAUAUCAGGAGGAACACCGGUGGCGAAGGCGGGUCUCUGGGCCGAUACUGACGCUGAGGAGCGAAAGCGUGGGGAGCGAACAGG
rnacentral:rRNA from 1 species